rnacentral:rRNA from 1 species
UACGGGGGGGGCAAGCGUUGUUCGGAAUUACUGGGCGUAAAGGGCGCGUAGGCGGCCUGCUAAGUCGGACGUGAAAUCCCUCGGCUCAACCGAGGAACUGCGUCCGAUACUGGUGGGCUUGAAUCCGGGAGAGGGAUGUGGAAUUCCAGGUGUAGCGGUGAAAUGCGUAGAUAUGCGGAGGAACACCGAUGGCGAAGGCAAUCCCCUGGACCUGUACUGACGCUCAUGCACGAAAGCGUGGGGAGCAAACAGG